ACCCCCGUGAGGAUGCCCCUACAGUUCCCUGCUUGGGAACAAGGAGCUGGUAUCAGGCACCCCUUCCCCCCUUCUUCUUUUCCUAAAGAAUCCGCCCAAGACACCUUGCUUUGCCACACCCUCAAGGGAACUCAGCAGUGAUAAACAUUAAGCUAUAAGUGAAAACUUGACUUAGUUAAGGCUUAGAGGGCCGGUUAAACUCGUGCCAGCCACCGCGGUUAUACGAGAGGCCCAAGUUGACAGCUACCGGCGUAAAGCGUGGUUAAGGCGUGACUAUUACUAAAGUCGAACUCCUUCAAGACCGUUGAACGUAUUCGAUACGGAGAAGCCCAACUACGAAAGUGACUUUACAAACCUGACCCCACGAAAGCUAUGGCACAAACUGGGAUUAGAUACCCCACUAUGCUUAGCCCUAAACAUAGAUAGAAUCCCACCCUUCUAUCCGCCCGGGUACUACGAGCAUUAGCUUGAAACCCAAAGGACUUGGCGGUGCUUUAGACCCAUCUAGAGGAGCCUGUUCUAGAACCGAUAUUCCCCGUUGAACCCCACCCCUCCUUGUUCCUUCCGCCUAUAUACCGCCGUCGUAAGCUUACCCCGUGAGGGGAUGAUAGUGAGCUAAACUGGUAAAGCCCAAAACGUCAGGUCGAGGUGUAGCUUAUGGAGAGGCCAGAAAUGGGCUACAUUCCCUACCACCAGGGAACACAGACAACGCACUGAAACACACGUUCGAAGGUGGAUUUAGUAGUAAGCAGCAAGCAGACUGUCCUGCUGAAACCGGCUCUGAAGCGCGCACACACCGCCCGUCACUCUCCCCAAACAUACCCUCCUUUCCAUUAAAUAAAAAACCACCUUUGUAAAGGGGAGGCAAGUCGUAACAUGGUAAGUGUACCGGAAGGUGUACUUGGAAGAAA
rnacentral:ncRNA from 1 species